rnacentral:rRNA from 1 species
CAUAUGGAUUGUGUCAGCAGCCGCGCGGUAAUACGGGAGUGGCAAGCGUUAUCCGGAAUUAUUGGGCGUAAAGCGUCCGCAGGCGGCUUUUCAAGUCUGCUGUUAAAGCGUGGAGCUUAACUCCAUCAUGGCAGUGGAAACUGAAAGGCUUGAGUAUGGUAGGGGCAGAGGGAAUUCCCGGUGUAGUGGUGAAAUGCGUAGAUAUCGGGAAGAACACCAGUGGCGAAGGCGCUCUGCUGGGCCAUUACUGACGCUCAUGGACGAAAGCCAGGGGAGCGAAAGGGAUUAGAUACCCCUGUAGUCCUGGCCGUAAACGAUGAACACUAGGUGUCGGGGGAAUCGACCCCUUCGGUGUCGUAGCUAACGCGUUAAGUGUUCCGCCUGGGGAGUACGCACGCAAGUGUGAAACUCAAAGGAAUUGACGGGGGCCCGCACAAGCGGUGGAGUAUGUGGUUUAAUUCGAUGCAACGCGAAGAACCUUACCAGGGUUUGACAUCCUGCGAACCUCUUAGAAAUUUGAGGGUGCCUUCGGGAAUGCAGUGACAGGUGGUGCAUGGCUGUCGUCAGCUCGUGUCGUGAGAUGUUGGGUUAAGUCCCGCAACGAGCGCAACCCACGUUUUUAGUUGCCAGCAUUUAGUUGGGCACUCUAGAAAGACCGCCGGUGAUAAACCGGAGGAAGGUGUGGAUGACGUCAAGUCAUCAUGCCCCUUACACCCUGGGCUACACACGUACUACAAUGCUACGGACAAAGGGCAGCAAACUCGCGAGAGCUAGCAAAUCCCAUAAACCGUGGCUCAGUUCAGAUCGUAGGCUGCAACUCGCCUACGUGAAGUAGGAAUCGCUAGUAAUCGCAGGUCAGCAUACUGCGGUGAAUACGUUCCCGGGCCUUGCACACACCGCCCGUCA